rnacentral:rRNA from 1 species
GAUGAACGCUGGCGGCGUGCUUAAUACAUGCAAGUCGAGCGAACAGACGCGGAGCUUGCUCCUUUGUCGUUAGCGGCGGACGGGUGUGUAACACGUGGAUCAUCCACUUAUCUGACUGGGAUAACCUCGGGAAACCGGCGAUAAUACCGGAUAAUAUAUUGCUCCGUAUGGUUCAAUAGUGAAAGACGGCUUUGCUGUAUCUUCUCGCUGGAUACGCGCCGCUUUAGCUAGUUGGUACGUUAACGGCUUAUCAAGGCGACGAUGCGUAGCCGACCGGUGAGAGUGGUCGGCGACACUGGAGCGUGAACACGGACCAGGCGCCUACGAGAGGCAGCAGUAUGGAAUCUUCCGCAGUAGUCGGAAGCCUGACGGAGCAACGCCGCGUGAGUUAUGGAAAUCUUCGGAUCGGAAAACUCUGUUAUUAGGUAAAAACAAAUGUGUAAGUAACUAUGCACGUCUUGACGGUACCUGAUCAAAAAGCCACGGCUAACUACGUG